rnacentral:rRNA from 1 species
CCUACGGGAGGCAGCAGUGGGGAAUCUUGCGCAAUGGGCGAAAGCCUGACGCAGCCAUGCCGCGUGUAUGAUGAAGGUCUUAGGAUUGUAAAAUACUUUCACCGGUGAAGAUAAUGACUGUAGCCGGAGAAGAAGCCCCGGCUAACUUCGUGCCAGCAGCCGCGGUAAUACGAAGGGGGCUAGCGUUGCUCGGAAUUACUGGGCGUAAAGGGAGCGUAGGCGGACAUUUAAGUCAGAGGUGAAAUCCCGGAGCUUAACUUCGGAACUGCCUUUGAUACUGGGUGUCUUGAGUGUGAGAGAGGUAUGUGGAACUCCGAGUGUAGAGGUGAAAUUCGUAGAUAUUCGGAAGAACACCAGUGGCGAAGGCGACAUACUGGCUCAUUACUGACGCUGAGGCUCGAAAGCGUGGGGAGCAAACAGGAUUAGAUACCCUGGUAGUCCACGCCGUAAACGAUGAUUGNUAGUGUNCGGAAGCUUGUCUUCUCGGUGACGCAGACUAACGACAUUAAGCACUCCGGCCGUGGGGUAGUACGGUCGACAAGUAAUUAAAACUACAAAGUAGAAGUUAGACGGCGUGAGACGUAGCCGAAGACGACGACGAGGGAGAGG